rnacentral:tRNA from 1 species
GGGCUUGUGGUCUAGCGGCUAUGACAGCGCCCUUACACGGCGUUAAUCCCCGGUUCGAGUCCGGGCAGGCCCA